rnacentral:rRNA from 1 species
GUAACACAUGCAAGACGAGCGCCAGCGGAAAGUAGUUUGCUUUCUUACCGGCGAGCGGCGGACGGGUGAGUAAAGUCUUGGAAACUGCCUGAUGGGAGGGGGAUAACUACUGGAAACAGUAGCUAAUACCGCAUGACCUAGAAAGAACAAAGUGGGGGAUCUUCGGACCUCACGCCAUCGGAUGUGCCCAGAUGGGAUUAGCUAGUAGGUGAGGUAAUGGCUCACCUAGGCGACGAUCCCUAGCUGGUCUGAGAGGAUGACCAGCCACACUGGAACUGAGACACGGUCCAGACUCCUACGGGAGGCAGCAGUGGGGAAUAUUGCACAAUGGGCGCAAGCCUGAUGCAGCCAUGCCGCGUGUGUGAAGAAGGCCUUAGGGUUGUAAAGCACUUUCAGCGAGGAGGAAGGCACCAUACUUAAUACGUGUGGUGAUUGACGUUACUCGCAGAAGAAGCACCGGCUAACUCCGUGCCAGCAGCCGCGGUAAUACGGAGGGUGCAAGCGUUAAUCGGAAUUACUGGGCGUAAAGCGCACGCAGGCGGUUUGUUAAGUCAGAUGUGAAAUCCCCGCGCUUAACGUGGGAACUGCAUUUGAAACUGGCAAGCUAGAGUCUUGUAGAGGGGGGUAGAAUUCCAGGUGUAGCGGUGAAAUGCGUAGAGAUCUGGAGGAAUACCGGUGGCGAAGGCGGCCCCCUGGACAAAGACUGACGCUCAGGUGCGAAAGCGUGGGGAGCAAACAGG